CGGAGAUUCAGCAAUGGAUCUUAGUGGCGAACGGGUGAGUAACGCGUAGACAACCUGCCUUCUAGAUGGGGACAACAUCCCGAAAGGGGUGCUAAUACCGAAUGUUGUACCGUUUCCGCAUGGAGAUGAUACUAAAGGUGGCCUCUGAAUAUGCUACCGCUAGAAGAUGAGCCUGCGUCUGAUUAGCUAGUUGGAGGGGUAACGGCCCACCAAGGCUUCGAUCAGUAGCCGGUCUGAGAGGAUGAACGGCCACACUGGGACUGAGACACGGCCCAGACUCCUACGGGAGGCAGCAGUGGGGAAUCUUCCGCAAUGGACGAAAGUCUGACGGAGCAACGCCGCGUGAGUGAAGAAGGUUUUCGGAUCGUAAAGCUCUUUCGUUAGGGACGAACGUGCUCUUUGUGAAUAAUGAGGAGUAAUGACGGUACCUAAAUAAGAAGCCACGGCUAACUACGUGCCAGCAGCCGCGGUAAUACGUAGGUGGCAAGCGUUGUCCGGAAUUAUUGGGCGUAAAGCGCGCGCAGGCGGGAUAUCAAGUCUGUCUUAAAAGUGCGAGGCUCAACCUCGUGAGGGGACGGAAACUGGUAUCCUUGAGUGUC
rnacentral:rRNA from 1 species